rnacentral:rRNA from 1 species
GAGGAAUAUUGGUCAAUGGACGUAAGUCUGAACCAGCCAAGUAGCGUGCAGGAUGACGGCCCUAUGGGUUGUAAACUGCUUUUGUAUGGGGAUAAAGUCAGUCACGUGUGAUUGUUUGCAGGUACCAUACGAAUAAGGACCGGCUAAUUCCGUGCCAGCAGCCGCGGUAAUACGGAAGGUCCAGGCGUUAUCCGGAUUUAUUGGGUUUAAAGGGAGCGUAGGCCGGAGAUUAAGUGUGUUGUGAAAUGUAGACGCUCAACGUCUGACUUGCAGCGCAUACUGGUUUCCUUGAGUACGCACAACGUUGGCGGAAUUCGUCGUGUAGCGGUGAAAUGCUUAGAUAUGACGAAGAACUCCGAUUGCGAAGGCAGCUGACGGGAGCGCAACUGACGCUUAAGCUCGAAGGUGCGGGUAUCAAACAGGAUUAGAUACCCUGGUAGUCCGCACAGUAAACGAUGGAUGCCCGCUGUUGGUACCUGGUAUCAGCGGCUAAGCGAAAGCAUUAAGCAUCCCACCUGGGGAGUACGCCGGCAACGGUG